rnacentral:rRNA from 1 species
CAGCGAUACCUGCGGGAUGUGAAGAAGGCCUUCGGGUUGUAAAGCACUUUAAGUGGGGAAGAAAGGUAAUGAGCGAAUAAGUCAUUGCUGUGACGGUACUCGCAGAAUAAGCACCGGCUAACUCUGUGCCAGCAGCCGCGGUAAUACAUAGGGUGCAAGCGUUAAUCAAAAUGACUGGGCGUAAAGGGUGUGUAGGUGGUUGACUAAGUUUGAUGUGAAAUCCCCGGGCUUAACCUGGGAAUUGCAUCGGAAACUGGUCGACUCGAGUGACAUAGAGGGUGGUGGAAUUUCCGGUGUACCGGUGAAAUGCGUAAAUAUCGGAAAGAACACCAGUGGCGAAGGCAACCACCUGGAUCUUAACUGACACUGAGGCGCGAAUGCGUGGGGAGCAAACAGGAUUACAUACCCUGGUAGUCCACGCUGUAAACGAUGAUAACUGGCUGUGAUGUGUAAGGAGCAAUCUAUGCAUG